rnacentral:rRNA from 1 species
AUUGAACGCUGGCGGCAGGCCUAACACAUGCAAGUCGGCGAGAAAGCACCUUCGGGUGUGAUUAGAGCGGCGGACGGGUGAGUAACGCGUGGGAAUUUGCCCAGUAGUGGGGGACAACUUAUGGAAACGUAAGCUAAUACCGCAUACGCCCUUCGGGGGAAAGUAGGGGAUCUUCGGACCUUACGCUAUUGGAUGAGCCCGCGUCGGAUUAGCUAGUUGGUGGGGUAAAGGCCUACCAAGGCGACGAUCCGUAGCUGGUUUGAGAGGAUGAUCAGCCACACUGGGACUGAGAUAUGGCCCAGACUCCUAUGGGAGGCAGUAGUGGGGAAUAUUGGACAAUGGGCGCAAGCCUGAUCCAGCCAUACCGCGUGUGUGAAGAAGGCUCUAGGGUUGUAAAGCACUUUAAGUUGGGAGGAAAGGGUAACGAUUAAUACUCGUUAUCUGUGACGUUACCAACAGAAUAAGCACCGGCUAACUCCGUGCCAGUAGUCGCGGUAAUACGGAGGGUGCAAGCGUUAAUCGGAAUUACUGGGCGUAAAGCGCGCGUAGGUGGUUGUGUAAGUGGAAUGUGAAAGCCCUGGGCUCAACCUGGGAACUGCAUACCAAACUGCGCAACUAGAGUACGAUAGAGGGGGGUAGAAUUUCAGGUGUAGCGGUGAAAUGCGUAGAUAUAGGAAGGAACACCAGUGGCGAAGGCGACACUCUGGACCAAAACUGACGCUGAGGUGCGAAAGCGUGGGGAGCAAACGGGAUUAGAUACCCUGGUAGUCCACGCCGUAAACGAUGUCUAGACCGCCUUGGGAGACUUGAUCUCUUAGUGGCGCAGCUAACGCAAUAAGUAGACCGCCUGGGGAGUACGGUCGCAAGAUUAAAACUCAAAUGAAUUGACGGGGGCCCGCACAAGCGGUGGAGCAUGUGGUUUAAUUCGAAGCAACGAGAAGAACCUUACCAGGUCUUGACAUCCUGAAAACUUUCUAGAGAUAGAUUGGUGCCUUCGGGAAUUCAGUGACAGGUGCUGCAUGGCUGUCGUCAGCUCGUGUCGUGAGAUGUUGGGUUAAGUCCCGUAACGAGCGCAACCCUUGUCCUUAGUUGCCAGCGGUAAUGGUGGGAACUCUAAGGAGAAUGCCGGUGACAAACCGGAGGAAGGAGGGGACGACGUCAAGUCAUCAUGGCCCUUACGACCUGGGCUACACACGUGCUACAAUGGCCGGUACAAACGGUUGCCAACCAGCGAUGGGGAGCUAAUCCGAGAAAACCAGUCGUAGUCCGGAUUGGAGUCUGCAACUCGACUCCAUGAAGUCGGAAUCGCUAGUAAUCGUGGAUCAGAAUGCCACGGUGAAUACGUUCCCGGGCCUUGUACACACCGCCCGUCACACCAUGGGAGUGGGUUGCAAAAGAAGUAGCUAGUUUAACCUUCGGGGGGACGGUUACCACUUUGUGAUUCAUGACUGGGGUG